rnacentral:sRNA from 1 species
GAGCCGGAAAUCGAGCACGCUGUGACGC